AGGAAAUGAUUUUCUAUUCAAUUGUGGACAUGCCUUCAACUCAAGAUUACAUAGGUAUUUAUAGGACUUCCUAUCACAUAAGUUCAUCCCCUCAAUUUAAUUCUACUACAUACACCACAAUUUACUAGGUACACAUUAAUUAAUAAUACAUGCAUACAUGAGCCACAAUUAACUAGGUGCAUAUUAAUUAAUAAUACAUGUAUUUCAAACUCCUAAAUUCAUGAAACUAAAUUAAAUAGGUUAAAUGCAUGUUUAUUUUUCUAACACCCUCCCCUUAAACAUGAAUUUUGCAUACUCCAAGCAAGUUUCUUAAUGCCUUGAAAGUAUUGAACUUGAGAGCUUUGGUGAGAAUAUCUCCAAUUUGGUCUUGAGACUUCACAAAAUUAAUCUUCACUACCUUGUUUGCAAUGCAUUCA
rnacentral:lncRNA from 1 species